AUUGAACGCUGGCGGCAGGCCUAACACAUGCAAGUCGAACGGUAACAGGAAACAGCUUGCUGUUUCGCUGACGAGUGGCGGACGGGUGAGUAAUGUCUGGGAAACUGCCUGAUGGAGGGGGAUAACUACUGGAAACGGUAGCUAAUACCGCAUAACGUCGCAAGACCAAAGAGGGGGACCCUCGGGCCUCUUGCCAUCGGAUGUGCCCAGAUGGGAUUAGCUUGUUGGUGGGGUAACGGCUCACCAAGGCGACGAUCCCUAGCUGGUCUGAGAGGAUGACCGGCCACACUGGAACUGAGACACGGUCCAGACUCCUACGGGAGGCAGCAGUGGGGAAUAUUGCACAAUGGGCGCAAGCCUGAUGCAGCCAUGCCGCGUGUAUGAAGAAGGCCUUCGGGUUGUAAAGUACUUUCAGCGGGGAGGAAGGGAGUAAAGUUAAUACCUUUGCUCAUUGACGUUACCCGCAGAAGAAGCACCGGCUAACUCCGUG
rnacentral:rRNA from 1 species